rnacentral:lncRNA from 1 species
UAGCAAGCAUACUAAAAUCUCAACAUUCAUCAAAAGAAAGUUCAACCACUACGGCGGCAUAAGAAACAAAAAAAACGAAGCAUCACGAUUGCAAAACAAAAGCAUGGCAAGGAGUCCAUGAUCACAAAUUAUGAGUGACUAUAAAGAUUGCAGAUGUUAUGGAUGUAUGAUACAUACCACAAAGACAGAAGAAAGCAAGGACAAGAUUUCUCAAAGUAGAAUAACGCUAGAAUCGCAGAAUCAGGAAGUAAAUCCACAAAGAAAAUAAAAAAAAGUGUCUGUAAAGAGAGUUGAGAAGGGUUAAAGCAAGAAAGAGCUUGGACAGGGUCAAUUCUUAAAUUUUGGGGGCCAAAGAUAACUUGGUACGAUUUUUUUUCUUAAAAAUAAAUAAUUAAGAUACAUAUGCAACGAGUUACAUGAAAAGUUUUUCUCUUUCCCGAAAAGGGCGAUCCUUUUAGCGAUUGCGCAAAUCGGCGUUGGUCCCUGGCCUCCACCGCCGCCAAACCCUAAUGGCGAAGAAAGAGUCUUCCUCUGCAAACCCCACCCGCUCCAACCCACCACCUUCGCCUCCCCCCGCAAACCACACCCGCUCAAACCAUCCCCCUCCGCCUCCCCC